CGGGAAAUUGGCUGGAUUUUCAGUAUGUUAUAGUACAUAUCCUCCCGAUCAAAAGUUCUUCUGGACACAAGUCCCAAAAAUCAGUAGUUUCCGAAAUACAAGCUUCGAAAGGGGAAGGUUUUCGGAUUUUUUAGAU